rnacentral:rRNA from 1 species
GACGAACGCUGGCGGCGUGCCUAAUACAUGCAAGUCGAACGCAGUUGCGAACGGGUGAGUAACGCGUAGGUAACUGCCUCAUAGCGGGGGAUAACUAUUGGAAACGGUAGCUAAUACCGCAUACUUUGAGAUGGACCUGCGUUUGAUUUGGUAGUUGGUGAGGUAAAGGGCCACCAAGGGCACGAUACAUAGCCGACCUGGGAGGGUGGUCGGCCACACCGGGACCGGGAACCGGGCCAGAAGUCCUCGGGAGGGAGGAAGAGGGAAAUUUCGGCCAAGGGCGGAAGUCUGGACGAGCAAAGGCGGGGGAGGGAAGAAGGGUCUCGGAUCGGAAAGAUCCGGUGAUAGAGAAGCGGUAACUAACCAGAAAGGGACGGCUAACUACGUGCCAGCAGCCGCGGUAAUAC